rnacentral:rRNA from 1 species
CGCGCAGGUGGUUUAAUAAGUCUGAUGUGAAAGCCCACGGCUCAACCGUGGAGGGUCAUUGGAAACUGUUAAACUUGAGUGCAGGAGAGAAAAGUGGAGUUCCUAGUGUAGCGGUGAAAUGCGUAGAGAUUAGGAGGAACACCAGUGGCGAAGGCGGCUUUUUGGCCUGUAACUGACACUGAGGCGCGAAAGCGUGGGGAAGCAAACAG